GGUGUAGGUGGCUUUGUAAGUCAGGUGUGAAAGCCCAGGGCUCAACCCUGGAAGUGCAUUUGAUACUGCGAAGCUUGAGUGCUGGAGAGGCUAUUAGAAUUCCUGGUGUAGUGGUGAAAUACGUAGAUAUCAGGAGGAAUACCGGUGGCGAAGGCGGAUGGCUGGCCAGACACUGACACUCAGACCCGAAAGUGUGGGGAUCAAACA
rnacentral:rRNA from 1 species